rnacentral:rRNA from 1 species
AUUGAACGCUGGCGGAAUGCUUUACACAUGCAAGUCGAACGGUAGAGGGGGCAACCCCUUGAGAGUGGCGAACGGGUGAGUAAUAUAUCGGAACGUGCCCAGUCGUGGGGAUAACGUAGCGAAAGUUACGCUAAUACCGCAUACGAUCUACGGAUGAAAGCGGGGGACUCGCAAGAGCCUCGCGCGAUUGGAGCGGCCGAUAUCAGAUUAGGUAGUUGGUGGGGUAAAGGCUCACCAAGCCAACGAUCUGUAGCUGGUCUGAGAGGACGACCAGCCACACUGGAACUGAGACACGGUCCAGACUCCUACGGGAGGCAGCAGUGGGGAAUUUUGGACAAUGGACGCAAGUCUGAUCCAGCCAUUCCGCGUGCAGGAUGAAGGCCCUCGGGUUGUAAACUGCUUUUGUACGGAACGAAAGGUUCUAUUAAUACUAGGAGCUCAUGACGGUACCGUAAGAAUAAGCACCGGCUAACUACGUGCCAGCA